rnacentral:snRNA from 1 species
AUCCAUCAGCUCACUAUUGUCA